UCUCUGUGUUUUAGGGGUGAACUGUCGGAUCAUGUUGAGAUUAUUGACAACAGUCUUGAAAACCUUCAAAACGUCUUGAGCUUUGACACAUCCCCACUGUUUGAGUUUUUCAGCUCCUGUCCGUCUGCGGACUUCGACCUCGACAGUUUGGACACUCUGCUGUCUGAAGAAGCUCCAAAAGGAAGUGAUGAAAGCAACACAGGGAAGCAGCUGGUGCAGUACACACCUGUACAGUCUGAACCAAUCAGUGGGGCCGACCUGUCUCUGGAGGCGGAGCCUUUCUUAAUCUCCGAUCAGGCCAAUGAGGACGCAGCUGCCCUGCUGAGACACGCCCACCUCGACGCUGACCUCUGACAUCAUCAGGAGGGGCGGAGACCGGGGAUAGUGUUAAAUGUGACUCACUGUAACCAUAGCAACAGGACAGUCUGAGCGCCUCACUGUAACCAUAGCAACAGCAGUCGGUGAUCAGCUGUAGAUCAAUCAGUAGGUCAAAGGUCGCGUCUUUAUUAACCUUCAUAUACUUGUUUCUUUUCUUCUUUUUAUUUUAUUAUAGCGUUUGCUUCUUCUUCUUCUUUGCUUUAAUUUAACCUUUUAUUUGAUGCUCCUGUGAUGUCACACCCGUGAUGUCACACCCGUGAUGUCACACCCGUGAUGUCACGCCUGUGAUGUCACAUCUGGGCGUGUCGUGUGUUCUGCAUGUUCCUG